GGAUCGAUGCUGACUCCCAUAAAAACAUUCCAUGGAAAGCUGAACAAAAUGAGAACUGAGCACCGUCGUUCUCAUCGUGACUGAGGUCC